GAGGGUCCGCUAGGGCCGGCGUCUCGGGUCCCGGGGAGGCGCGGCCCCGAGGGGGAGGCCGGCCCCGCGGCCGCACCGCCGCCCGCCUCACCUCGUCCACCGUGCGGCGCGGGAGGUGCAGCGUCCCGAGCAGCAGCUUGAGCUUCACGGCCGACGAGAGGCCGUGGAAACAGAGGCGGAUGUUGUCGAUAACCGCAGCCGUGAGCAGGGACGCGAUGCUGGGCGGCGCCCACAGCUCGUCCGUGGCCCCCAGCUUGUUGUGCAGCCACAGGCCCGUGUCGCUCUCCCGCAUGGACGCCAUCUUGAGGGGGAAAAAGCCGGCCACCGCCGAGCCGGCAUCUUAUGAGGACACCUACGCGCCCGCGGCGAGGACCCUCAACAUGGCUGCGCCCGCAGGGCGAACGGCGGUGACGUCACCAGAGGAGGCGGGGCCUCGGAGAGACGCUUCGCGGCGGCGCGAGGACCGGCCGUCGGCCGCCGUAACGUAACAUGGCGGCGCCCGUGGCCGGAUCUCGAGGGCCGCGGAAGAUGACGUUAGCAGAGGAGUGGGCUGGCUCGGCCGACCUACGCCCCCUUCAGCCCUGAAGUGGACGGAACCCCGACGCGGCGGCUGGCGAGAGCCCCCGCCCCUCCACGGACGGCCGCCGGGGGGCGGCCAGGACGCCGGCGUCCCGCGCCGCUGGGAGCGAGGUUGUCGAGGUCAGAAAGACAUUUAGGGAAAUAUUUGCCAAAUAGAGUCGGGUGGGGUCCAGUUCUCGUCCGUUCCCUAGACAGCCCGCGUGCGCUGACCACCUGCGACGUGCCUGGCACAGUUCCAGUUGCUGGGGACACAGUGUGCUUUGUCCCAAGACAGGACUGAGUGAUGACGCCCGCGGCUGACCCGCGUCCUCGGGCUUAGCUGCAGGCGACCUUCUCCAGGCCGGCUUCCUUGCCUGCGCCCAGAGAUCUGUGUCAUAGCGCAGAAUCGGGCUAGUACCUCUUGUGGAUGAGGACAGCAAACUUGGAGGUGCUCCCAAGCUUGUUGGCAGACCGAGAGGGGUGGGGACUGGUGUACCAGGCGUGGCCGGGGCCCUUUUCCGAGGAGGGCACGCUGCCCCUCAAGUGAAAAGAAGUCGCAUGCAGUGAGCAGGAGGAAGGGUGCCCCAGACAGGGGGCAGCUCGUGGUGCAGGGGGGGCCCCCAGCCCGGCCUCCUGGUUCCUCCCGUCCCAGCCGCUAUGUUUCUUCCUCUGCCCCCUUCCGCCCACAGCUUGGACCCGAACCUCAUCAUCUCCGUACCUGUGUACGAGCCCCCCUUCAGAUUCCCCUCUGCCACCAGAGCCACAGCGCCCGGCCUUUGCACUUCAUCCAGACCUGUGAGGGGAGAGGGUCAGGGAGCACCCAGUGCCUCACCCGUCUUCAGGUACCUGGGCGGUGGAGAGGUCAGCAGUCCAGACCCUUCCCGUCAAGCCUGCUGUCCUCCGAGAUUGGAGUGAGGCCCGACUCUGCUUUUAUUCUACUUGAGUCGGUUUUUCUUCCUUCCGCCAGCAAUCCCGAAGCCCAGCACUACGUGUUGAAACUGUGUCCUGAUGUGUGUGUCAGACAUAAAGUACUGUUACGUGUAUGUUGGUGUCUUUGGUGGACAGGUGCGAUUGUGCUGAUCUUGUAUCCACAUUUUAGCUUUCCAUCCCCCUAGAUGAAACCCUCACCUCGCUUCCAGUUGCCCCACCCUAUGGACAGUCUACAGUGAGGACCCUCCUACAAGGCCCUCUCAGACUACAUGUAAGAGUCUGGGAGGUGCAUGCCCCAGAGUCGGGGUGUUGGCCAGAGGUCACCAGGUAGUGUUAAAGAGGGCUGCUAAAAGUUCUCUAGGCGGACUGUGCUGGUUCACUUCCCACAGUUGACACAGGCUUGCGAGAGCCAAUUGCUAAAUUUUCAGGAAUUUUAUAAGCUUGUCAUUAAACACUGCCAUUGUUAAAAAUGUAACUUCAGGGCUUCCCUGGUGGUGCAGUGGUUGAGAAUCCGCCUGCCAGUGCAGGGGACACGGGUUCAAGCCCUGGUCCGGGAAGAUCCCACAUGCCACAGAGCAACUAAGCCCGUGUGCCACAACUACUGAGCCUGUGCUCUAGAGCCCGUGAGCCACAACUACUGAAGCCUGUGCACCUACAGCCCGUGCUCCGCAACAAGAGAAGCCACCACAGUGAGAAGCCCGUGCACCACAACGAAGAGGAGCCCCCGCUUGCCGCAACUAGAGAAAGCCCACGCGCAGCAACAAAGACCCAAUGCAGCCAUAAAUAAAUA